rnacentral:misc_RNA from 1 species
CUGGCGUGUACCACCCGGGAGCGGGGUACACUGGCUUGUCAUCCCUUUGUCUACCGUACCGCGUUGCUUCCAUGGUGAGCCAGCCGGUAUCACCGGCCUCGCCGGGCUCCUGGCGUUCGUUCAGGCGCCCGGUCGGGAGUGCCCCAUGGGUAGGAUAACAGAAAACUCUGAGAACGUGUGGUCUGAUCAAAUCGGCUUCUGGGGGAAAUUAUAUCA